AUCGCUUCUCGGCCUUUUGGCUAAGAUCAAAGUGUAGUAUCUGUUCUUAUCAGCUUAAUAUCUGAUACGACUCCCAUUGGGGGUCAAGAUAUUAAACUAAUUUUUGCGGGACAGCGAAGUCAAGGGGCUGUGCUCCUGCUUUGCUAUGGGUUGGCCUGGAAUUGCAGUACAUCCAGGAGGGGCCCACCAAAU